AUAAGCGGAGGAAAAGAAACUAACAAGGAUUCCCCUAGUAACUGCGAGUGAAGCGGGAAAAGCUCAAAUUUAAAAUCUGGUGGCAUUAUAGUCAUCCGAGUUGUAAUUUAGAGAAGCGUCUUCCGCGCUGGACCAUGCACAAGUCUCCUGGAAUGGAGCGUCAUAGAGGGUGAGAAUCCCGUCUUUGGCAUGGACACACCAGGGCUUCCGUGAUGCGCUCUCGAAGAGUCGAGUUGUUUGGGAAUGCAGCUCAAAAUGGGUGGUGAACUCCAUCUAAAGCUAAAUAUUGGCAAGAGACCGAUAGCGAACAAGUACCGUGAGGGAAAGAUGAAAAGCACUUUGGAAAGAGAGUGAAACAGUACGUGAAAUUGUUGAAAGGGAAACGCUUGAAGUCAGUCGCGUCGGACAAGACUCAGCCUUGCUUUGGCUUGGUGUAAUUCUUGUUUGACGGGUCAGCAUCAAUUUUGGCCUUUGGAUAAUGAUGAGAGAAAGGUGGCACCUUUACGGGUGUGUUAUAGUCUCUUGUCGGAUACGAGGGUCGGGAUUGAGGAACUCAGCAUGCGCCUUUUGGUGUCGGGGCUUAGGCCUACGUUUACGUGCU
rnacentral:rRNA from 1 species